rnacentral:piRNA from 1 species
UGUUCAGCAAAAGCGCCAAGAUGCCAU